ACACACAAAGCCAGCAGCAGACACACACCCAUCCAGCCACCCACAAACACAUAGAUAUACACACAGACCCAUGCAUAGCCAGCACCCCCCCAACACACACACACACACACACACACACACACACACACACACACACACACACACAGAGUUUGUGGAAAGGGGACAGUGAUCAGCUCAGGACAGCUGCAGCAGCCUCAGAUGGUGGCCCCUGGAGCAAUGCAGGACGUACACAGAAGGGACUGGGUUGGAUUUGGAUUGCCUUAAGUCCUGUAGUGAUCCACAGCUGCCGUUUGACUCCAGCAGAAUCGUGACAGAAAACAGAAGAUAAAAACUGUUCUUCACAUGAGAGUAGACAAGGAUAAAACUUGUAGGAACCAGAUGGAUCCUCCAAACCACGAGGGGGCAGCAUUUCAAGCUGACAUGAACUGGAGAGGUAGGUCAUUGAGCAUGCUA
rnacentral:lncRNA from 1 species